AAUGUGUUUUGACUGAAUAUAACUGGAAGUUUCAGUGGGAGGAGUCCUGAUGUACCUGCAACAGAACAUCAACUAGCAUGGCUGCGGUAUCAAGAAAGUCUCAUUGGACCGAAGAAAUGGAGGAAAAAUUUGUGGAACAUUGGCAGGAGCACCACUGCCUAUCUGAUGUUUCCUCUGAACUCGCAAAGAGAAGAGUUGGAGAGAAAUUGCCAAUUCUCUUGGACAGUCAGCAUACUUGGCACCAAUCUCUUGGAGCGUGUACCUCUGAUUUUCAAGGAGGAGAGGAGUAAGGUGAAAUUUGGGCACAGUCAUACAGUCUGAAGAAACUGCAAAGAGCCUGUCACAGGAGUUUGCUGUCAUUGAUGAGGAUGCACCUUUGAGGGACAUGUAAGUAUUUUGCAUGAACAGUAUGGCAAGAUGCUACCAGAUACCUUGGUUUUUAAAGACCGGAUGCAGCAAAAUUUUUCAUGGCGGAGAAGGGAGAAAGAAGAUGGAAUGACUGGUGGAUAAAAACUCUCCAGUGUAAGUAAUAUCACAGAUAAUUUUAUGUCAAUUAUCAGCUUAAAAUACAUGUUUGAUUUCAGUGUAGCACAUGGAACAGCAGGUUAGAACUACAUUGUAAAGACCAGGGAGGCAUGAAAAUGAGAGGAGCAUUUUGGUCAUUUUAAUAUUUUUAUAUUGCUGAAAAGUUGUUGAAUAGUUUGCCCAAAAAGGAAAAUUCUGUCUUUUACUCACCCUAAUGUAAUUUCAAACCAACAUGACUCCUUUUUUUUUCUUUGUAACACAAAAGGUGAAUUUCUGGUGGUGUGACAUAACCACAGAAAAAGUAUUUGAAAUAAAAGGUGCAAUGUAUUCC